rnacentral:lncRNA from 1 species
AAGCUGGAACCUGCAGCAGCUGCAGGGGGAGGGCGUUCUGAGAAUCCAAAGAUCAGCAUGCCCCUUUGGACCUUUUGAAGGAAGCUAUCAAAAAUGAAGACAUGACUUCUCAAUACCAGGUUUAUUUGAAAAGGAAUAAAACCAAUGUAACAGUUUACUUAUCAUUUACUACAUGCUGAGCAUCUUGAUGGGUGUUGCGUAUGAAGAGACGAGGAAGACACAAGCACUGACCUCAAGUUGUAGUCCAGUGGGUGAGACUGCCCGUGAUUGCAAUCCAGAGAUAAUGGCUAUUUGAGAAGUGCGUUGGAAGCCCAGGAGAUUCAAAUGUCACACGCAGUUUCAUUGCUGCUGCUGGAAGGCCCUCCCAUGUGUAUAAGGACAUAACUUGCAGGAAGCAUGGAGUCAAGGAAGGGACAAGCUGUUGGAUACUUCCUCAACUUGCUGCUUGUAAUGGAUGAACUAAUAAAUGAUUAAGAAUGGAGGCUACAGCUGUACACAGG